rnacentral:piRNA from 1 species
UUUCGCAUGCAUAUAACUAGA